rnacentral:rRNA from 1 species
AGAAUCAACGCUGGCGGCGUGCCUCAGACAUGCAAGUCGAACGCGAAAGUCCCCCUUCGGGGGACAAGUAGAGUGGCGCACGGGUGAGUAACACGUAGGUAAUCUACCUUCGGAUGGGGAAUAACAACCGGAAACGGUUGCUAAUACCGCAUAAUGCAGCGGCACCUAAUGGUGACAGUUGUUAAAGCGGGGGAUCGAAAGACCUCGCGUCUGAAGAGGAGCCUGCGGCGGAUUAGCUAGUUGGUAGGUAACGGCCUACAAGGCGACGAUCCGUAGCCGGCCUGAGGACGGGCGGUCGGCCAACGACGUGACAGUGACGAGUACGGUUAGACCUCCGUACGGGAGGCAGCAGGUGGUAAGUUUUGGACAAGUAGGGUACGAAA